rnacentral:rRNA from 1 species
AGUGAACGCUGGCGGUAGGCCUAACACAUGCAAGUCGAACGGCAGCACAGGAGAGCUUGCUCUCUGGGUGGCGAGCGGCGGACGGGUGAGGAAUACAUCGGAAUCUACCUUUUCGUGGGGGAUAACGUAGGGAAACUUACGCUAAUACCGCAUACGACCUACGGGGGAAAGUGGGGGACCGCAAGGCCCCACGCGAUUAGAUGAGCCGAUGUCCGAUUAGCUAGUUGGCGGGGUAAUGGCCCACCAAGGCGACGAUCGGUAGCUGGUCUGAGAGGAUGAUCAGCCACACUGGAACUGAGACACGGUCCAGACUCCUACGGGAGGCAGCAGUGGGGAAUAUUGGACAAUGGGCGCAAGCCUGAUCCAGCCAUACCGCGUGGGUGAAGAAGGCCUUCGGGUUGUAAAGCCCUUUUGUUGGGAAAGAAAUCCUGUCGAUUAAUACUCGGUGGGGAUGACGGUACCCAAAGAAUAAGCACCGGCUAACUUCGUGCCAGCCGCCGCCGUAAAAC